rnacentral:tRNA from 1 species
ACCGAAAUAGCUCAGUUGGGAGAACGUUAGACUAUAGACCAAAAAGUCCCUGCUUCGAUCCCGGUUUUCGGCA